UACGCUGGCCGCGUGCCUAAUACUUGCAAGUCGAGCGGACAGAUGGGAGCUUGCUCCCUGAUGUUAGCGGCGGACGGGUGAGUAACACGUGGGUAACCUGCCUGUAAGACUGGGAUAACUCCGGGAAACCGGGGCUAAUACCGGAUGGUUGUCUGAACCGCAUGGUUCAGACAUAAAAGGUGGCUUCGGCUACCACUUACAGAUGGACCCGCGGCGCAUUAGCUAGUUGGUGAGGUAACGGCUCACCAAGGCGACGAUGCGUAGCCGACCUGAGAGGGUGAUCGGCCACACUGGGACUGAGACACGGCCCAGACUCCUACGGGAGGCAGCAGUAGGGAAUCUUCCGCAAUGGACGAAAGUCUGACGGAGCAACGCCGCGUGAGUGAUGAAGGUUUUCGGAUCGUAAAGCUCUGUUGUUAGGGAAGAACAAGUGCCGUUCAAAUAGGGCGGCACCUUGACGGUACCUAACCAGAAAGCCACGGCUAACUACGUGCCAGCAGCCGCGGUAAUACGUAGGUGGCAAGCGUUGUCCGGAAUUAUUGGGCGUAAAGGGCUCGCAG
rnacentral:rRNA from 1 species